rnacentral:rRNA from 1 species
CCUACGGGUGGCAGCAGUGAGGAAUAUUGGUCAAUGGCCGAAAGGCUGAACCAGCCAAGCCGCGUGAAGGAAGACGGCGCCACGCAUUGUAAACUUCUUUUGUCAGGGGACAAAAUCAGUCUCGAGUGCCUGAUCGAGGGUACCCGAAGAAAAAGCAUCGGCUAAUUCCGUGCCAGCAGCCGCGGUAAUACGGAGGGUGCGGGCGUUAUCCGGAUUUAUUGGGUUUAAAGGGUGCGUAGGCGGACUGUUAAGCGGGCGGUAAAAGCCCGGGGCUCAACCCGGGCGCGCCGUGGCAACUGGCUGGCUUGAGAGGGCGAGAGGUAUGCGGAAUGCGGGGUGUAGCGGUGAAAUGCUUAGAUAUCGCGAAGAACUCCGAUUGCGAAGGCAGCAUACGGGAG